ensembl:lncRNA
AUAUAUAUAUAUAUAUAUAUAUAUAUAUAUAAUUGACAAUAGGCAGAUGCAAAAUAUAUAUAUACAAUGCAAAGAUCAAAUACAACAGGAGAUAAAUUAUUCUUAUGUGCUCAUUUAUGUGCUCAUUCUCAUUUAUGUUAGAACAUACCAUACACCAAAUGAUAAAAUAAGAUUUUGUAAAAUUAUCUACUGAACGUGAAAAAAAAGUGAAAGUAACAUGACAUACAGCCAAGUAUGAUGACCCAUACUCAGAAUUCGUGCUCUGCAUUUAACCCAUCCUACGUGCACACAAACAGCAGUGAACUAACACACACACACACACACACACACACACGGAGCAGUGGGCAGCCAUUUAUGCUGCGGCGCCCGAGGAGCUGCUGGGGGUUUGGUGCCUUGCUCAAUUGCACCUCAGUCGUGGUAUUGCCAACCCGAGACUCGAACCAACAACCUUAGGGUUAGGAGUCAGACUCUCUAACCACUAGGCCAUGACUUCCCCACAUGAAUCCAUGUAGCCUACUACGGAAAAAGUAACAUUUGCAGAAAAAUUCUCUGACUAUACGAGAAAAUAUUCCAGCAUAUUCCAGCACACGAAAAAAGACAGAAACAGUAACGCAAGUAUUAGAAGAUUUAUUGGAAAAAGGUUAGUGUACUUUUUGCCAUUGUAUUUUUUUGGUGUGGUAGGGGCACUUUUUGCCUCAGAUAUCAUGGUUAUAAUGUCGGCAAACGAGAAAGCUUAUUUAAUAUGAAUAAUCAUUUUAUGUGUUUGUAUGUGGGCAUACAGUAGCCUACUAAUGUUAGUUGAUAUGUCCUCAAACACCAGACACAUCUUAAUAUUAUGAAGGGCGAACUUUAUUAAUGACAUAAGACUGUAUCAAAAACUGAUAUCGGUUUGUGUGGGGGGGGACCACAGUAUUUUACUUUAAAACUCCCACAAAACACUUUUAAAUGGAUAAGAACAUCAGUGAAAUAACAUUGGUUUAAAAUCAGUCUUUUAUCCAUUCAUUGGAACAGAUUUGGAGAAAUUUAGCAUUAUAAAACUUGCUCACCAGUGGAUCUUCUGCAGAGAAUGGUUGCCAUCAGAAGUCCAAACAGUUGAUAGAAACAUCACAGUAACAGAGAUGACUCCUGUCUAUCAGUUAAUAUCUUGUGAAAGCUCCACAGUGCAGAUUUCCAGCAGGACACUGGAUCUCUCCCUCCGCAGACCAGGAUCAUCACCACUGACCCAGAACCAAUGACCAGCCAUAAAGCGCAGAUCAGUCCACACAUAAACUGUCUGGGAUGUUAUAGUAUAAUUUAUCACCUCUUCCAUAAUUGUCUCAGAACUUAGACUUGCCAGAUCAGUGUACUCUUUUCUGCAAUAGUCCAGGGCUUCAUCCCACGUCUUAUUCUGAUGAACCAAAACUGGGCUGAAGACCUUCAUACAGUAAAAAGAUAGAGUCUCAGAGCAUGGAAUGUUGUGCAGUUUAGAAGUGGAUAUUUUUAACCUGCCACAAUUUUCAGAAUAAUCAUCUGGUUGUUCGCUAUCCCAGUUGUCAAUUGGUUGCCUCUCACCUCCAGACCAAAUCCAUUUUUCUGGGUUGUUAGAACUUCUGUAUAGUCCAGCCCAUUUAAAAUGAUACACAGAAUCUGUAUAAACGCAAAACUUUUCUGCCUCUCCUUUAUUGAUGGUGGAAAGGUCGUCGUAGUAUUUUCUGCAGUAUUUCUGUUCAUCAUUCAGUCAUUUUUUUCCCCACAAAAUAAUGGAUUCUAUAGGCACUGAGGUACAGUCCAAAAAGACUCAAAAGUAAGAACACAUUGACUGCAGCCUUCAUUUCUGUAUGGACGAUUUACACAGUAAUGCCUAAGUGUGCACUCAACUACGAUGAUAUUAUGGCAUCUCUUAAAGAUUUUUAAUAAGAGACCAAUAAAAAAGCUGUAAGGGAACUGGCCAAUCAGAAGGUCUCACCCUUGAAGUAUUUGUGUAGCAAAUGUUUAAAUAAAUCAUGCAUCAUUGCAAAUAUUUUGAUAGUAAAGAAAACAGGUCAUGCACGUCAGACAAAGUAAAAAAAUAAAAUAAAAUAAAUAAUAAAAAAGCAAAGUUAAGUUAAGAGCACAACAUUCUGAUUUGACAUAAUAAUCAAUGAAACAAAUAAACAAAUAAAUAAAUAAAUAUAUUAUUAUGUAAUAUUUUCUAAGAAUGGGAAUUGUAGGGAAUUUAAUAGUUACAAUUCUGGUUCAUUGGUGGUUCCAUUAACACUUGUUUUACAUGGUAAAGAAAGAAAUACAUUUAGAAUAAAGCAAUGAAAUUAUUAUUACAUUGACAGUCCUCAGCAGUUUUUUUUUUUUUUUUUUUUAGAAAUAAAUGCAGUUGUUUCAAAAAGUGUUUACAUAGACUUUUAAUGACUUGACAACAGUUCUCGGUUCAUUUCGGACAUGACUCUGGAUUCACUAAAAAGAACCGGCUCAUGAGUUGCUCGUUCGGGAAUUUGAAGACCUACACAGUGUUGCCAAGUCCGCGUUUUUUUUUUUUCUUGUAAAAACCUGGCAACCCUGGCCCUACGUAUUUGAUUUAGAUACGAGUUAUUUGUUUGGGGAAAAGAAUCGGUUCAUGAGUCUUUCGUUUCCAAUGUUUGUGUUUCCCUCUGUAGAAUCAGACACGUUGUCAAUAAUUUAGUACGGUUUCCGUCCACAUCGAGCGUCAUAAAAUAGGCUUUUAUUUGGUUCCAGUACCAUUAAACGUUUUUCAGUUGUAAUUUGCCUAUGUAAAGCAUGCACCGCCAAGAGUCAUUUAAGAGUCGUUCAGCAGCAGCUGCACGAGCAGGUUUUGGACUUGAUCUUGAGGAUCACGCUUUUGCAGGUUUGUUUUAAUUGUUUACACAUUCAUAUUUGAUUUAUAAGCGUGUUUUAUUAUCUGUUGUAUCGCAUUACUAUUUAACUGUGUGAAAAACUUCUCCAAGCCAUUCAGUGGGUGAUCUCUCCAAUAAAUCCCGACCGCUGUGCUGCUAACCCGUUUGACCAACUCACAAAAAAAGAACCGACUCAUUCAAUCAUGUAUCAUGCAUAGCUAGUUCUUAUUCUAAAGUCAUUUAAGAAAAUACGAAACACACGACAUGAUUGGUGAAAUAGAAAAAAUGAUUAUCAGGUCGAUAAAUUGUAGUGUCCAUCACAAGGCAAGAUUCAGUAACAUUUUACUGGGGGUCAUGGCCUGGUAUAUUAGUUGCAACCAAGAGAUGGCGCUCCAUGGUUUACUUGGUCUAUUACACAAACACAAUGACACUCUCACAACUCUUCUCCGGUCUCGAAUCAAACGCAUUCAAACCCACUGAAACGGUUACCAACAUGAGAGUGCUAGAAACACCAACCUGAUUUUUGUUUCUCACAAUAUCAAAAUCUCAGUGUACCCCUUCCUAAACCCAUAUUCAAAAAU